rnacentral:tRNA from 1 species
UCAUUAGAUGGCUGAAAGCAAGCAAUGAAAUUUUAAAUCAUAUAAUAAUAUAAUAGCAAAUAUUUCUAAU